CCUACGGGGCGCUGCAGUGGGGAAUAUUGGACAAUGGGCGAAAGCCUGAUCCAGCCAUGCCGCGUGUGUGAAGAAGGCCUUCGGGUUGUAAAGCACUUUCAGUGGGGAAGAAAGUCUUGGGGCUAAUACCCUCGAGGAAGGACAUCACCCACAGAAGAAGCACCGGCUAACUCCGUGCCAGCAGCCGCGGUAAUACGGAGGGUGCGAGCGUUAAUCGGAAUUACUGGGCGUAAAGCGCGCGUAGGCGGUCUGAUAAGCCGGUUGUGAAAGCCCCGGGCUCAACCUGGGAACGGCAUCCGGAACUGUCAGGCUAGAGUGCAGGAGAGGAAGGUAGAAUUCCCGGUGUAGCGGUGACAUGCGUAGAGAUCGGGAGGAAUACCAGUGGCGAAGGCGGCCUUCUGGACUGACACUGACGCUGAGGUGCGAAAGCGUGGGUAGCAAACAGGAUUAGAUACCCGAGUAGUC
rnacentral:rRNA from 1 species